CCGAGUGGUUAAGGUGGUAGACUGCUAAUCUAUUGUGCCAUGCACGCGGGAGUUCGAAUCUCCCAGUC
rnacentral:tRNA from 15 species